rnacentral:rRNA from 1 species
CCCUUAGAUGUUCUGGGCCGCACGCGCGCUACACUGACGAAGUCAGCGAGUAUGUCCUACGCCGACAGGUGCGGGGAAUCUUGUCAAACUUCGUCGUGAUGGGGAUUGAUUAUUGAAAUUCUUGAUCAUCAACGAGGAAUUCCUAGUAAGCGCAAGUCAGCAGCUUGCGUUGAUUACGUCCCUGCCCUUUGUACACACCGCCCGUCGCUACUACCGAUUGAAUGGUUUAGUGAGAUCUUCGGAUUGGCGCCACUGCGGCUCAGCAAUGGGCUCGGUGGAUGCCGAAAAGUUGAUCAAACUUGAUCAUUUAGAGGAAGUAAAAGUCGUAACA